rnacentral:rRNA from 1 species
CCUACGGGCGGCAGCAGUGGGGAAUAUUGGACAAUGGGCGAAAGCCUGAUCCAGCCAUGCCGCGUGUGUGAAGAAGGCCUUCGGGUUGUAAAGCACUUUCAGUGGGGAAGAAAGCCUUGGGGCUAAUACCCUCGAGGAAGGACAUCACCCACAGAAGAAGCACCGGCUAACUCCAUGCCAGCAGCCGCGGUAAUACGGAGGGUGCGAGCGUUAAUCGGAAUUACUGGGCGUAAAGCGCGCGUAGGCGGUCUGAUAAGCCGGUUGUGAAAGCCCCGGGCUCAACCUGGGAACGGCAUCCGGAACUGUCAGGCUAGAGUGCAGGAGAGGAAGGUAGAAUUCCCGGUGUAGCGGUGAAAUGCGUAGAGAUCGGGAGGAAUACCAGUGGCGAAGGCGGCCUUCUGGACUGACACUGACGCUGAGGUGCGAAAGCGUGGGUAGCAAACAGGAUUAGAUACCCCAGUAGUC